AUGAAAAUGACAAUAAUCUGGAUAUGCUCAGUAAUGUAAAGGAAUUUUGAAUGCUUUUAACAUUAUGAAGUUGGACAAGAAGAUAAAUACCAAUAUCAUAAAAAUUCAGGAUAUGUCUCAAACUGGUGUAAAAAGAAUGGGAGAGGAGGAGACAAGGAUAUUAACGAUGCCGCAUAACUCAAAGCAGAUCAGUUAUGCUUGGAAUAAAAAUGAAAACAACUGGCUGAACAGAAAACAUUUACAGUGAAAUAAAAUGAAAUAAUUUGCCAUGGAUUAAAACAAUACAAUAGCAGUGCAAUAAAAAUAUAUCUCGUG